rnacentral:rRNA from 1 species
UACGGGGGGGGGCAAGCGUUGUUCGGAAUUACUGGGCGUAAAGGGUCUGUAGGUGGCCAACUAAGUCAGACGUGAAAUCCCUCAGCUUAACUGGGGAACUGCGUCUGAUACUGGAUGGCUUGAGUGCAGGAGAGGAACGCGGAAUUCCAGGUGUAGCGGUGAAAUGCGUAGAUAUCUGGAGGAACACCGGUGGCGAAGGCGGCAUCCUGGACCGGUAUUGACGCUGAGGCGCGAAAGCUAGGGGAGCAAACGGGG